rnacentral:snoRNA from 1 species
UGGACCAAAGAUGACAGUGUUUUGUAAUAAACGAAUAUGAUUAACACAAUUAUGUACACCUGCCAACCAUU